UCUAGCACUGGGAGACGCUGCCCAUUACUCUAGAGUAAUAUACAAAUACUCUAGAGUAAUGGGCAGCGUCUCCCAGUUGUAGAAC